AGUGGUUCAGAGCUGCAGGGGUGUGAGGGACCCGACUGCCCAGGAGAGAUGACUGCCCAGGAGAGACGCUGGCCUUCUGCUCACUUAGCCUUGAGCUCCCACCCCACCUGCCCCAAAUCCCUGCUCCGUCCUCUCUUUCCCCAUCUCCUCUUGGUGACAGAAUAUAUUCCUAGUUCUCUCAUUCUCACCAGAAUAGGAGGGUCUGCUGAGAACAUCUAGAGGAAUAAGCCUACCUUUCACCCCACGUACUACAUAACACAACUCCAGGGGUGCUGUCCCCAUACACUUGCAUGGUGCUAAUGGUGGCCGUGAAGGAGGCGACUCUCCCCAGAGCUGAAAGCAGAGAUCCUGAUGCCCUAGGGGAUGUUGGAGCCAGAGGAUGGAAAGAGCCUGAGUCCCUGAAUCAUCACAUGGAGGUCAACCAUGUUCUUGCCAACAAGAACACCUCAAUUGUAUUCAUAUGUGAGAAAUAAACUUCUUUUUGGUUG